UCAGGGCCUGGUGGUCUGUCACAAGGGCCCAGAAGGUCCACGCUUUCUGGUGGCUGGGAGUGGCAGUCGGGGGCUUCAGGACAAGCCUCUGGCUGCUGUGGCCCCCUACCCUUCCUCUGCACCUUGGGAGCCCCAGCCCCUGGGCUGUCUGAGUCUAUGCUAACAAAGUAGGUGCCAGAAAUCUUCCUUUAGACAUCGGUCACUGUGAGCCUUGGCUAAGCCUGGGGACCUCUUCUCAGCCCUGGCUACGGCCCAGAUGCCCGCCCUGAACCUUCCACAAGUCAGGGCAGGCACCAUUUCCCCAGGACCAGCUGAGCAGUAAAGUAUCUUCUGGUUUAUCUGGAGGAAGGAAAAUGACGUCAUGAGGUAAACCGCACAGCCUGAAACCACGAGGCUGGGCGCCCCAGUGAUAUUUGCUUUUCAGCAAAAGUCACCAUGCACACAGAGGGACAGGGAGCCCGGGCCAUUGCGGUCAGAGGGUCGGGGGGAAGACAGAGGGAGAUUUUUAACACGGAACCACAAGGAAGGAGAGGCCCCGGAGAGGACGGACGUCAGAGGCCAGAGGACAGCUUCCUGGGUUGUUGUGGGAGACUCGCCACCUGCUGGGCGGGGCGGUCUCUGCUGGCAUCUCACGAGGUCUCGGGGUUGGCACCUGAGGCACGCAAAGUCACGUUUGCCAUGGCGGGCAUAAUAAUAGUGGCAAGAAUAAUAAUAUCGAUAACGCAUCCUGACCAUGUGUCUCUGUAGCCCUGUUACCUCCUCAGCACCGUCCCAUAAGAAGGGACCCUGUGAGGCAGACACAGCCUGCGCACAGAGGAAGGAGGGGAGGCUGCUGGGGCUCCGGCCUGUGUUUCGCCUCCAGACCACGGAGCUUCUUCGCCCACGUGCUGGGUGCCGUCCAGCCUGAGGCCUGUGUGCAGGGUCCUGGUUUCAAGCCCCGAUUCCCACCUGCUAACUGCGACCCAAGAAGCCCCCUCCCCUCCGCAGCCCUCAGUUUCUUCACCUGCCAAACUCCCUGCCUUCGAGGUGAGAGAUUACGUAAGGUCUUGCUGGGGCUCAGCUGCUCAACUCUGAUCAGAAAGAAGAGCCAUGAGUCUGGCUGGGCAGUGGCUCACGCCUGCAAUCCCAGCACUUUGGGAGGCCAAAGAGGAUGGACUGCUUGAGCCCAGGAGUUCGGGACCAGCCUGGGAACCCUCUCAUGGGACAGCUGGACGCAGCCAGGCGGGAAGGACUCUUCACCAGCCCCGUCUCCAUCGCCCUGGCUGCCAUCACUGCUGGCAUCGACACUGACCCUCCAGCUCCAGCUCCAGCACCAGGUCACCACCCUGCCCCUCAUCCAUCCUCCUCCUCCAGGUGUGAUGAAUGAGCUUUUCUCAUUCAAUCAUUCUCAGAGGCAGCAUAGCGUGGCCAGUAGGAAGGAGGAUGCGGGAGCCAGACUGCCCGGCUCCACCACCCACCAGCUGCUUUUAUUCCCUGCCUGCUGUAGUUCCCUGGCUGUAAAAUGGGGAUACAAAUAAUAUCUUCCUCAUCAGGUCACUGGGAGGCUUAAAUAAGCCCAUACUGUAAAGUGCGUAGAACAGGGCCUGCCACAUAGUAAAUACUCCAUAACUGCUAUCAUUCAUUCAUUCAUUCGUGUAUGCUAUCCUGCCUGUUUCUGAAAGAGUUGAGAUGACUCACAAUGGAAAUGCAAUGAUAAUAGGCCUUUAAAUUCAGGUUAAAAGAACACAAGCCUAGGCUGCAGAGGAGACAGUGUCCCAGAACCUGGGCCAAGCAAGCCUCACCUGAACACAACCUCCUGGCGUCUCGUCCAAAACAUAAAGGCUGCUGGUAUCAAUUCUCCUUUUCUGAUAAAAGGAAGCAUAACAGCUUUCCAGCGGAAUAGAAGAUUUUUUUCUGGUUCAAACUUUAUGAAUGACAUUAAACAAUGCAAUGGGUAGGCUCCCCCUCACCUCACCCUGUCCGCCUUUUUAAUCAACUCCGGAGAAAUGGGGUCUGCUCUUCAUCCCAUCCCACUCCGCAUCUCCAGACCAUGCGGAAGCCUGGGGUCUUGGAAUGCCUGAGAGCCCUCAGAGCAAUACCUUCAACUGUCCCAGGAGAAGAACACUCUUCGCUUUCAGCACCAGGGGAAAACUAGGAAAAAGCCAAGCCACUGAGUCAAUGAGGGCCUUCCCUACGCUGCAGACAGCAAGCCCCUUCCAGGUGCUUCCCCGCAGCUACGGCAGCAAGUGCCCCAGGGGCGGGGCCGGGAAUGCUCACUGAGAAAUCCCAGAGCUGCCUGCACUUCCCCUCACUGGCUUCCCCUUCUCUCAGCAGCGGCAGGCACAGGAAAGCUGCUGAUUCCCGGAGGACCACUUACGCAGAGCACUGUGAGCUGAUCCAUGGCAGAGUCUCUCCAGCUCAUAAGUCUUCAGUGACUCCCCAUUGUCCAUGGAAAACAGAAGACACCUGAGGCCUUGCACAGUGAACCUCACUCUCAUCCCUCCCUCAAGAGAAUCCUCUGCCUCGAGCCGAAGGCCACCGGCUCUGCAGACCCCAGGCCUCUCCUUCCCAGGGUGGUCUUCCCUUUCCCUACACUCAAGGCACAGCCCAAGUCCCACCUCUUCCGUUGCAAGGGACACCACCCUCUGAACUCCUGUUGGGGAAAGAGCCUAGCUUUGCAGCCAGAUAGGCCUGAGUUAGAGUCUCAGCUCAGUUCCAAUCCCAUUAGCUGGUUGCAAGUCAUUAACUUUGUCAACCUUCAGUAAAUGGAAAUCAGGCCCAUACUGUAGGUGCCUGGGGUUGCUGAUGGUUGAGUGGAAUCUGUUCUUUUGAUCUUCCCAGCAUCCUUUCCCUUUUCUUUUGGUGAUGUCCCCUGGAUUUUCUGUUGGGUAUGUGGUCCAGGGCUGGCUGACCUCACUUCCUGGUUCCAGCAUAAGAUCAUGACUGAGGCCUGGCCAAUGAGAAUAUUCCCUAUUCCCUCGCCCCUGCCAUGGAGUCAGAUUCCUGGGGAUGAACUUGUGACUCCAAACAGGCUGGUGGGAACGCACUUGGGGUGUUAGCUGGAGUUAUUGAAGCUUUCUUUCCCACUGGAGUCACUAGGUAGAUAGAAGGAAAGCUGAAGCCUUUAGCCACUGCUGUGGGUUGAAGUGUGUACCCCAAAAAGUUCACCCAAAAGUGAACUUGUGUACCCCAAGUUCUAAUUCCCUGCACCUUUGGAGGUGGCCUUAUUUGGAAAAAGGGUCUUUGCAGAUGUAGGCAAGUGAAAAUGAAGCCAUCCUGGGUCAGGGUGGCUUGUGGCUUGUGUCCAAUGCCUUGUGUCCUUCUAAGAAGAGAGAAAUCGAGACACAGACACACACAGGGAAAAGGCCGAGUGAUGACAGCAGCAGAGAUGGGAGCGCAGCAGCUACAAGCUGAGGGAUGCCAAGCAUGGCUGGCACUGCCCAGGAGCCUGGAGAGAGGCAGGAGACAGCCUCCUCCUUAGAGCCUCGAAACACCCUACCCACACCCUGACUUCAGACUUUCAGCCUCCACAACUGGGAGAGAAUCACUUUCUGUUGUGUUAAGCUACACGAGUUCGUGGUGAGUUCCUACAGCAGCUGCAGGAAAUGAACACAGACACCAAAUGGAGAGACUGUGUCUGAGACUGAAGCCAGCACCGUGGAAUCAGAGCCGCCAGGAGGGAGACGUGGACUCUCAACCCUGUGGCCACACUUGGCUCCCCCGGCAGCUGAAGCACGAAGUCUACUGGACUUACUAGACUUUCCAGUUACCUGGACCAAUAUAUUCUCUGUUUUACUUAAGCUGUUUCAAUUGGAUUUCUGGCUAUUUCAACUGAGAGAGGCCUGACUCUCAGUUAUACUGAGACUGUGGAUGUAAAAUGCAUUGAAGGCCAGGCACAGUGGCUUGCGCCUGUAAUCCCAACACUUUGGAAAGCCAAGACGAGAGCAUGGCUUGAGCCCAGGAGUAUGAGACUAGCCUGGGCAACAUGGCGAAACGAAACCCCAUGUCUACAAAAAAAUACAUUAAACCAUUUUAGAAAGAAAAUAUAAAA